rnacentral:rRNA from 1 species
GAUGAACGCUGGCGGCGUGCCUAAUACAUGCAAGUCGAGCGAACAGACGAGGAGCUUGCUCCUCUGACGUUAGCGGCGGACGGGGGAGUAACACGUGGAUAACCUACCUAUAAGACUGGGAUAACUUCGGGAAACCGGAGCUAAUACCGGAUAAUAUAUUAAACCGCAUGGUUCAAUAGUGAAAGACGGUUUUGCUGUCCCUUAUAGAUGGAUCCGCGCCGCUUUAGCUAGUUGGUAAGGUAACGGCUUACCAAGGCAACGAUGCGUAGCCGACCUGAGAGGGUGAUCGGCCACACUGGAACUGAGACACGGUCCAGACUCCUACGGGAGGCAGCAGUAGGGAAUCUUCCGCAAUGGGCGAAAGCCUGACGGAGCAACGCCGCGUGAGUGAUGAAGGUCUUCGGAUCGUAAAACUCUGUUAUUAGGGAAGAACAAAUGUGUAAGUAACUAUGCACGUCUUGACGGUACCUAAUCAGAAAGCCACGGCUAACUACGUG